rnacentral:lncRNA from 1 species
GAGAGAGCGAGGCGAGGGGUGGGCAGAGAGAAAAAAGAGACUAGAGUACAGAGGCGCGCCCACCAAUUCCAGGUAGAACGAGAUGAUACCUCAAAAUCCGAAGAACCGUUUCGUUCCGCAUCUGUGCAGAACAUUCCAACCAGUUGGUUCCAUUCCAAAAUGUUGCAUUCUACCGACCAAACGCUGGAAUCUUUUAAAUUCUCGAACCAUUCAUUUCAUUCCACUUGAUGACACCAACCAAACACUACCUAAGAUCGCCAAACACACUAUGGCUUGGGACACCUCCUUCAAGACAAGCCGUGAAAACUCAGCUCCGUCGACAAGGUAAAAAACAAAAAACAACAAAUUCCAGAAAGUCAGGACGCGAUGUGGACACCAAUGAUCUAGACGACACUAUCUACACCGUAGAGGCGUCAUCGUCAAGAAUAUACAAAUAUAACAUGAAAAAUGGUAAAACUGGAUGCCAUACGUUUAUCCGUGAUUCUCCGCUUGCUGACGAUAAAUCGGCUGUUAGAGACGGAGAAACCUUCGGUGAUCAAAACUUUCUUCCUACGGCU